GUUCACAUGCCCUGAUUGAGUUGGUAUGGUUUUACAACUCUUUUUAGCAAUAUUCCAGCAAUAUCAUGCCAGGGAAUACCAGAAAUGGGCUUCACACAUUGUACCCAUGUGGGGAAUCAAACCCUGGUCUUCAGUGUGACAAGGGGACGCCUUAACCAUAGGCUACCCA